rnacentral:rRNA from 1 species
UAAGGAAUAUUGGUCAAUGGGCGGAAGCCUGAACCAGCCAUGCCGCGUGCAGGAAGACGGCCUUAUGGGUUGUAAACUGCUUUUAAUCGGGAGUAAAGAGUAUUACGAGUAAUGCGAAGAAAGUACCGAUAGAAUAAGGAUCGGCUAACUCCGUGCCAGCAGCCGCGGUAAUACGGAGGAUCCGAGCGUUAUCCGGAUUUAUUGGGUUUAAAGGGUGCGUAGGCGGCAGAAUAAGUCAGGGGUGAAAAUGUACGGCUUAACCGUAGAAGUGCCUUUGAUACUGUUUUGCUAGAAUGGACUUGAGGUAAGCGGAAUGUGACAAGUAGCGGUGAAAUGCAUAGAUAUGUCACAGAACAUCGAUUGCGAAGGCAGCUUACUAAGGUUUGAUUGACGCUGAGGCACGAAAGCGUGGGGAUCAAACA